AAGAGGUGUAUUAACAAUUAGAGCUGCUAACUCAAAUAGCUAA
rnacentral:tRNA from 1 species